rnacentral:lncRNA from 1 species
AGAAGCCUACAAGUGGUGGCUAUGGUGGGGGGAGAUAUGAGCAAGAAGAUGAAUACAAGAGGCCUCCAAGUGGUGGCAGCGGUGGUGCCUAUGGUGGAGGGAGGUAUGAAGAAGAUGAGUACAAAAAGAAGCCUAGUGCUGGUGGAUAUGGGGGUGGAAGGUAUGAGGAGGAAGAUGAUUAUAGGAAGAAGCCUAGUGCUGGUGGAUAUGGGGGUGGAGGAAGGUAUGAAGAUGAGUACAGCAAGAAGCCAAGUGGUGGUCAUGGUGGAGGGAGGUAUGAGGAAGAUGAUGGGUACAAGAAGCCUAGUGGUGGUGGAUAUGGCUAUGGGGCUUCAAGUGGUGGGGGUCAUGGAGGAAGGUACGAAGAAGAUGACUACAAGAAGAAGCCUAGUGGGCAUUCAGGGGGAAGAUAUGAAGAAGAGGAGGGGUACAAGAAGACUGGUGGCCAUAGUGGAGGGAAGUAUGGCGAGGAAGAUGACAAGAAGAAGAAGAAACAUGGUGAUGAUGAGUCAGAGGGUGGUGGUAUUGGGGAUUACCUGAAGCUGGCACAGG